UAAGCAAAUUAGUUAAUGGAUAUAAAAACAAGUGUUCUUAAUCUGAUUAUUAAUAUAGUAUUCAAUAUAGAAUGCUGCAAAACCAAAUCUGCCAAAAUCUGCAUAUUAGAAUGAUUUCAUGUAACACUGAAGACUGGAGUCAUGGCAGAGAAAUAGCAAAAAUUCUGCCAUUACAGGACACAUGGCAUUUUAGACUAUAUUAAAAUAGAAAACUGAUAAAAUGUUAUACAUACAAAAAAAAAUAAACACAUUUAACAAUCAACAAAACAUUUAAACAGCAAUGUGCAUAUAAUGCAUAUGCUGUAUAUCCAGUUAAAUUGGAAUUAUUAUAAAUAUUUAAUCUUUAUCUAAGUGAAUCAAAAUUAUUUCAAUAUCAAAAGAGUGACAUUGCAUUAGAGAAAUGCAUUAGAGCACAGAUCAUAAAUCAUAGAUAUACAGUCAAGUAAUUCAGUGGACCCAGGUAGAUGCUGCACACUGAUGGUGGAUGAGGAGAUCCCCCUCACAAUGUAAAGCGCUUAAAUGCUUAAGUGCUUAAAUAGCGCUAUAUAAAUGUAAUGAAUUAUUAUUAUUAUUUUGUGAUUAAUAUUUCCUAUGUUUGUGCGCAGAAUGAGUUGUCUAUAGGAGAUGUACAAGAAUAUGACUGUGCCUCAAAACAUGAUAUGUCAGAUGCAGCAUUAGGAUGGCAAUUGGCAAUGUCCUGUUCUUCCUGCGAGUGAGUUGUAGGACAAAGUCAAACAUGAAAGAUAUCCUGUGGUGGGUACAUCUCUAUCCCUUAAAUAGUAAACAAAUGCACACCUUAUCCUAUAGUAUCCUGUACUUAACAACCUCUUAACAGCAGUGUCCUAGAGCUCCAUGGAUUCCGUCCAAUCCCGUAUCAUGGCACAAGGCCAGGAUCUGCAAGUCACAGCAUGGGUCAGUGUGCAUUCAACUAGAGCACAGAUUUCAUCUAUGAUAAACAUACUUCCAGUGGGAUUCUUUAUUUCUGGCUGAAAACAAUGGCAGCAUAUCUAAUCCCACGACCCACAAACAUACAUUUUCAGUUCCGCAAAAUGUUCACAGAGAGAAAGAGAGAGAGGGAGAGAGAGAGAGAGAGAAAUAAGCUAUAGAGCUUAGUCCUUCACUCUCCUUACAGCCCAGCCUCCACAUUAAUACCCUCCUGCACAAAACACACACAAACACACGCACACACAUUCACCUUCCUCUGCAGUCUCAUCCAAUCAGGAUCUCUGUGUGCCCCAGAGCUUCCCCUCCCCUUGGCUGCCUACUAAAUGGGUUACCAUUAAUUAAUUCUUCUCACUCAUCUGGUCCUUGGCGUCUCCUGCUGCCUACAAAGGUAGCAAUUAUAUUCAGUGGUGAUGAGGAUUGUUCUUAGGGAAGACAUCUGUCCGGCAGAGCCUUGGCAGGCAUCCAAAAGGAGGCAUGUGAGGAGAGUUUUGCCAUUUAGCAAUACAACUUUG
ensembl:lncRNA